rnacentral:rRNA from 1 species
UACGUAGGGUGCGAGCGUUGUCCGGAAUUAUUGGGCGUAAAGAGCUCGUAGGCGGUGUGUCACGUCGGCCGUGAAAACCUGGGGCUUAACUCUGGGCGUGCGGUCGAUACGGGCAUCACUAGAGUUCGGCAGGGAAGACUGGAAUUCCUGGUGUAGCGGUGAAAUGCGCAGAUAUCAGGAGGAACACCGGUGGCGAAGGCGGGUCUCUGGGCCGAUACUGACGCUGAGGAGCGAAAGCAUGGGUAGCGAACAGG